rnacentral:rRNA from 1 species
AUGAAACGUCGAAACUGGGCUGGCAACCCUUGUUGCUCAUUCUGCAAAUGCAGGGAGACUUACCUGCAUCUAUUCUUCCUGUGCCCCGUCGCUAGGGUCGCCUGGCGCACAGUUGGUGCAGUGCUGGGUACUGACUUGUGCCCCAACAACAUAUGUCAGUUCUACUCUUGGUGUUAUGCUUUUCUUCCCCAUGGAGAGAAACACUUUACUGUGGGGCUUGCGGCCAUCUGCUGGGCCAUUUGGAACCGCAGGAAUCAAGCUACAUUUGAAUUCAAGAAACUGUCAUCUCCUUUUGAGAUUGUUUUCAAUGCUUGUGCACAUCUUUCCUACUGGGCAGGUUUGUUGAAAGGCAAAGAACGAACGGAGCUGGAGCAGGGCGCGGCACUUCUGAAGAUGAACGCUAAGAAGAUGAUGAGCCUUUGUGCGUCUGCAUACACGGGGACCACCCAGGGGUGA